UCUCCUUCUUUGACCCACACACGAACAAGCUAGGGUUGGAGCCGCUGCCCCUCCGGCCUGCCCGCCGGAGCUCCGUCCGCCCCUCUUCUCCAUCUUCUCCCCCCACCUCUACUCCCCCAGGCCCAACUGUGGUGGAUGGCAUGCCCGCCGGCGCUCCAUACUCCCCUCUUCUCCAUCUUUCCCCUCGCCAUCUCCCUCCUCACUCCCUGUUCCGCCCCCACCCCUACUGCUGCAGGCUCAACCAUGGUGGUCAACACGGGGAUGUGAGCGUGAACGGGCGGCGUCGGUGGACAAGAGAUGCGUAGAGGACCUCAAGUGCUGCAGACGCUGGCGAGGUGAGAAUGAUAUUGCACUGUUGAUGGAGCGCAAGUAGCACAAAUUAAUCAUGUGCAUUGCCCAUUAUUGAAUAUCAGAUAUUCCAAAAUAAAGGAGGCGGCUGGAGGAAGCAUUGGAGGCCAAGUUCAGCAGCAACGGUCAGCUGUCGUCGGUGGCCGGAUGACGACAUCUGCAAAGGAAUGAGGGACACUACAGGAACAAUAUAGUAGUGGUCAAACUUUGGGUUGAGGGUCUGAUAAUGGACGUAAGACAGCUGUUGGAGAGGAGAUUAAAAUAUGGAAGAUAGCAGCAGACGAGGUAGCUGAAGCUGGUAGAUCAAUUGAGCAAGAGCCCCAGAUCCAGGACAGAACAUGUGCAAGCUCAUGGUUUUAUGCCGAUUCAUCCUUCAAGACAAGUAUUAGGCGUGUGGCAGCACAACCUAGGUGUGUAGGCGUGUAGCUGCAUACAUGUGAAGGGAAAUAGGGAGGCAGCUUCGGCUUGGAUAUGCUAUUAGGCCUUUCAGGGUCUACAAGAAUUGGAUGCAGAUCCACUAUCCCACCCUCCCCUCUGUAUUUACUGCAAUGCAUAUUUACCUGGAGGUAGCAUCUCAGCGGUAUGUCAAGUGCCAAGUCAGUUUUCACUAAAUACAAAUUUUAAUAUAUACUGGUUGUAUAUUUAUGGAUUAUAGUUGAAAUUCUCAAAUGAAUAAAUAUUUUUGUAGUCCUAUAUACAGCUACCUAAAACAGAAGUUGGCACAUCUUCAUUAGAAGGUAUGCUCACUAGCUUGAUUUCUCCUAGAGAUGUAGAAUGUUUAUUCCCGCAAUGUUAUUUUGCAAUUUCCUUUUUUGAUGUAGCUGCUUAUCUAUCAAGUUUAUUUAGCAGAGUGUCUAUGAAAGUGUGCAGUUCAAAUAAUCGGGUUAUGUUAUACUAAGUAUCCUAUAAAUGAUCUGAAUGAACACAAGCGAUGGCGUCCGUCGGCCACGGUGCCCAAGGCGUAGACUGGACCCUUCUAAGGAGGCAUGUGGGGAUGCAUGCAAGACAUGCCCUCAUUCUAUGAAACAAAGUCAAAAGCAAAUGGGAGUAUGAGAGAUGGUGUAUGGACCAAGUGAUGGAGCAUCUCACGGACGGCGGCCCUCACUUCAAGCUCGAUGAGCUUAACUUAAACAUGCUCUUGCACUGGCAUGGUCGUGAUAGGUUUGUCAUCUGGGCGAUUGCCCGUGUUCGAAAGGUUGGUGUGAUUUUUCACUAUAGGAAUUGAUAGCUUGACAGGUUAUUUGGCUUAGCCUAUGUUGUGUUGUUGCUUGUUUGUCUGAUCCCUAUCAUGCUGAUGUUUCAUACCAUGAUAGCUGUUUAUGGUUGUAAUAUUACACCAUUGACAGGUUAAGAAAAGGUGUUUGCUGAUUGAGAAAGUUGAGAGACAACUUACGGACACUAUAACAGUUAGGAAUUUAUUGUUGGGCCAAAAUUAUGUCGUUGUUUAUAUACAUGCAUCAAUUCUUCAUGUAGCUCACUACUUAUUCUGUUAUGAGAAUAACAACUGUAGAUAGAGUCAUUCAUCUUGCUUCUUUUCUAGAUGAAUAACUUCAUUAUGGGUUGUGUCAUCCGAGGCAAGUUGAUACUACCUACUGUAUGCAAAUUCCAGAUGCAUUAGGAGGGGAGUGACGAAGCCGGAGGGGCCGAGGUGCCCUCAUCAUCAUGGGUGCUUGACGGUGCAUCAUAGACCAGGCGGAGGAUCUCCUGGUGGAGCUUGGCAGAACCGAGGCACUUGGAGGAGAAGACGCCAUGGAGCCCUCGCCCGCUGCUGGUAGGCUUUGGCGAGGACGAGCGCCGGGAAAGGUCCCAGAUGUUGCGCCAAGGCCUUCCGCGCCCGCACCCGAGGUAGGUGCUUCACUAACAAGCUGCUACAAGUGUACAAGGCCUUCCACGUUGAAGCUGAGAAGGCAAGAAGAUUUCGUUAUUAAUAGGGACAAAUAGGUGGCUAGCGUAUCCUUUUUGGUUGGCUGAAGCGUUGGAGUGCUAAAGUUCCAGAUAAAAAUCCAUCUUUGGCGCAUUUGUUUUCAGAUUAUUGCUGUUGGAGAUGAGCUAUACAGAGAGAGACACACACACUUAUCUGUACAAAAUCCAUCUUUGGCGCACUUGGGGAAACUUUGUCCAAGGGCAAUUCAUAGAUUGGAAUUUAGAUUUGGGGCAAUUUUGUUUGCCUUGCUUUGUACGGAUGUUGCUAUGCUUUGUGUAUUGUUGUCAUUAUUGUACAGAGAGAAGAUACAGUGAGACAGAUGGAGAGAUAUUGCUAGCUAUUUUUUGUGGAA